UCUCCCCCCAACUGAAUUGGAUCAGUGCCAAAGAUCUACAUCGGCGAAGACAAGAGUUUGUACUUGGAAUGGGGGGCGGAAAGGUGAUACGAUACGAUCUCCCCCUGCCCUGCCCAGCCGCGUGUUCCCCAACUUGAUUUACCUAAACAGAGCGUACACGCUUCCGUCUUUCUCUACAACUCGCUCGCACUAUAAAUAUUGCAUCAUGCACCACGCUGCUUGCAAAAUGGAUUCCUAGCUUAGCAUGUGGCUGAGCGGCUAAGCACAUGGACAGCCGGUGUUCAGGUUCCUAGACGGCAGCUCGGUUGGACGACAAGAACCGAACUUGGGAGGGCUCGGAUCUCCACCGAGAGAAAACUCAGGGCGGUCCAGAGCGCCGCGUGUUCCGUAUCCUCCCGGGGCAAUCGCGAGCUCUCUUGUGCCGGGCAUCGGAGCAAGGUUAUACCACCAAAAGCUUGGCUCCAGAGAGAGGCCGAAGAGGAAAGGAAAAGACAGCGAAGGGAAACGUCGUCUGUUNCCAAGGAUUACUCACCCGGUACGCGUCUGAAUCCGGCGAGAAUCCCCUGUACAAGCGAGGUACGGGCAGCAGCGAGGGGAAAGGCUGAGAAGGNAAGAAAGAGGCGAAUGUAACGGAAAGGAAAGCGGCGUCCCUGCCCGAUGAGGUCUCUCGGGAAAAGGCAAAGCGCUCACAGUAGUAGUAGCGGCGACGGCAGCUGACUGGAUGAAACUGGCAAGACUGGAUACAUGGCAAGCCAAGCGGNCUCUCGUUUCCGUGGGCUACAGCCGCUCCCGCCCGUGCCGGGUUCCUCCCUCCCUGUAAUGAAUGAGAAAAGCCCGGGCGGGCGGGGAGGAGGAGGAGGCGAGGGCGGAGAAAGCAAGCGGCCGGGCGGGGCCAGGCGGGGCCAGGCAGUCACUCAAACGCCGCCGGCCGGUCUUCUCCUUCCUGUCCUGUGUCCUUUUCCAGACCCCGCCAGCUGCUGCUGCGGGGCGGCCGUCGUGGAGCAACGGGCGAGGGAGAGCGAGACCCGCAGCCCGACGGAGAUAGCAAAGAAGAACUCCGCCAGGGGUGGGCCACAUCUCGCUCGCAAUGCAGCCCGCUCUUGCCUUGCCACCUUCGCCGAGUCCGCGGGAAGGAGGGGGUGUCGCUCGCACGUUGGCGAAAUGCGCGCGCAAAAGCACUGCCCCCCCUCUAUAUUCGCGCCUAAGGUGUGUCUGAAAGGCAGGGCUGGUAGGGCCCCGCCUCGCAGUCCGGCUGUCUCUCCCCGGAGUCCUCGACCCCGCCCGCCUAGUUUACGCUCCGCCCUUUCUCUGGUCUUUUGCGCGCGCCGCGUAGGAGGCAGGUUGAAGGCUGGGCACUCGCGUCAGCAGGCAGGGAGUGAAGGAGGGGAAAACCAGCUGCUAGACGAGCAACAUAGACGAUCUGAAAUGAUGAAUUUGGCACACUUGAACUUCCAUCCUAUACUCCUAAGAUUUAUAUUUGUGCUGAUGCUGCUGGAGUCUAUAUAGAGAAGGAUUCCUAUAAAUUUAGUCAAAGGAGCAGUGCCAUGCGCUCGUUGGAAUCUUUCUGUCCCUUCAUCCUAUAGUACUGGAUAAAAGCACCCUGAUUUGGAAAACCUUUUAGUGUAAUUGUGNCUGAUAUCCCUAGUUUAAUGUCCUUUUUUUAAAAAAAAUGAAACAUCAAGAAAACCUUCUUUGCAAGCAGAAUUCUAAAGAAAUUAUGCAUCCCUGCAUGGUCUUGAUUAAGGUUGUAUAUAUGUAUGUGUAUAUGUAUGUAUGUAUUUGCAUUUGUUUACCACUCUUCACCCUGAGGUCCCAGAGUGGUUUACAUAACAAACUAAGGACAUUCCACNUAAAACACAUUCACUUAACAUGAGGCCAGGUCACCACUGUGAGCUGGUGGAGGAUUUUCCCACCUUGCUCUUUCUCCUCUGCAAUCCCAAAAAGCAAGGUGAUAAAAGUUUUCUUUAUCUGGAGUGUAUGUGUAUAUUUUUAGCUUAUUUUAUAAUUCAGGAUUUAAACAGUUCGAAUGAUUGGCUUUUAUCAAUACUGGGGGACUGCAUUAUACACAUUCAAAUGAUUUAGUUAUAUAGCAAAUGUAUAUGUGCCAAGAACAUGAGAAAAGCAACACCUACAUUGCUGCAAUAAAGUCUUCACCAUACACCGAAAUAGAACUAUC
rnacentral:lncRNA from 1 species